GUGCUCGCUUCAGCAGCACAUAUACUAAAAUUAGAACGAUAUAGGGAAGAUUAGCAUGGCCCCUGCGCAAGGAUGACAUCCAAAUCACUCCAAAUAUAUUAACUGUAU